GACGAACGCUGGCGGCGUGCUUAACACAUGCAAGUCGAACGGAAAGGCCCUGCUUUUGUGGGGUGCUCGAGUGGCGAACGGGUGAGUGACACGUGAGUAACCUGCCCUCGACUUUGGGAUAACUUCAGGAAACUGGGGCUAAUACCGGAUAGGAGCUCCUGCUGCAUGGUGGGGGUUGGAAAGUUUCGGCGGUUGGGGAUGGACUCGCGGCUUAUCAGCUUGUUGGUGGGGUAGUGGCUUACCAAGGCUUUGACGGGUAGCCGGCCUGAGAGGGUGACCGGCCACAUUGGGACUGAGAUACGGCCCAGACUCCUACGGGAGGCAGCAGUGGGGAAUAUUGCACAAUGGGCGGAAGCCUGAUGCAGCAACGCCGCGUGCGGGAUGACGGCCUUCGGGUUGUAAACCGCUUUCGCCUGUGACGAAGCGUGAGUGACGGUAAUGGGUAAAGAAGCACCGGCUAACUACGUG
rnacentral:rRNA from 1 species